rnacentral:tRNA from 1 species
AGGAUUAUAGUUUAAAAAAAACAUUUGAUUUGCAUUCAAAAAACAUUAAAUAAAUUAAUUUAUCUUA